AUUGAACGCUGGCGGCAUGCUUUACACAUGCAAGUCGAACGGUAACAGGGAGCUUGCUCCGCUGACGAGUGGCGAACGGGUGAGUAAUGCAUCGGAACGUACCGUGUAAUGGGGGAUAACGUAGCGAAAGUUACGCUAAUACCGCAUACGCCCUGAGGGGGAAAGUGGGGGACCGCAAGGCCUCACGUUAUACGAGCGGCCGAUGUCGGAUUAGCUAGUUGGUGGGGUAAAGGCCUACCAAGGCGACGAUCCGUAGCGGGUCUGAGAGGAUGAUCCGCCACACUGGGACUGAGACACGGCCCAGACUCCUACGGGAGGCAGCAGUGGGGAAUUUUGGACAAUGGGGGCAACCCUGAUCCAGCCAUGCCGCGUGAGUGAAGAAGGCC
rnacentral:rRNA from 1 species